rnacentral:rRNA from 1 species
UACGUAGGGGGCAAGCGUUAUCCGGAUUUACUGGGUGUAAAGGGAGCGUAGACGGCAUGGUAAGUCAGAUGUGAAAGCCCGGGGCUCAACCCCGGGACUGCAUUUGAAACUGUCAGGCUGGAGUGCAGGAGAGGUAAGCGGAAUUCCUAGUGUAGCGGUGAAAUGCGUAGAUAUUAGGAGGAACACCAGUGGCGAAGGCGGCUUACUGGACUGUAACUGACGUUGAGGCUCGAAAGCGUGGGGAGCAAACAGG